AUGGCGACGCGGUGGCGCAAGAUGGCGGCCUGAAGGGAUGCGAGAAGCAGGCCGCGGAGGCAGGCCCAGGGCCCCGUCUGCGGGACUCCUUAACAAAGCAGCGUUAAAGCAGCAACACCACGACGCCCCGGCCAUUUGUAGGCUAAAUACCCCCAGAGACUCUCCAUUAAGGAACACCAGACACAGAAACCAAGGUGGAAAUCAGACUCAUUGAGCCCCAGGACCUGAUCCAAACCAGCAUGCAAGCCUGUGCUUAACCUCAGCCACGUGCUAGAGCCAUAGCCUUUAACCAAGCCUCACCAGGGCAGUGCCAAGAAGACGCCUGACUCAGCAUCAACAUACCUCUAAUCCAGCAUUAGGAAUAUGGAGCUCAGCACAUAGCAGGAUGAGGCUCCCUGUGCCAUGAGAUAGACAAUCACAUGGGAUAAUCACUGUAUUACAGGAUCUCAGCUCCAGGAUAGGCUAACAGAGGUGCUGUGUGCCCCGUUCCGCCUUGGCCUCAUCUUCCCAGCAUCUGUUCUCCUAAGCUGGAAUCAAAUGAGCACCAUCAUUUCUGGCACUGCAGCAGUCUUGGCUUUUUGGAAUUUCUUAGAGGGAAAGAGAAACCCACUUAUCUAAAGAGCUAACAGGUGAAAAAACUACACUGGAAGACUGCUUCUUAAACCAUAGAAACCAGUGGUUUUCAACAUCGUUUGAUUUGCAGACCUUUAUGCAUUUCAUAGCAAAGAGGUACACUCUUACAUAGGAAGUUUAAAGCUAUGACCUCAUCUCCUCUGAGCCACCAUUCACAGAACCCUCAGGGGCAAUCCUGUGACCCUUACAGUUUGAAACCACAGCUAUUUUACUUCACAAGGGCCAAGUUUUACUUCUCAAAUCUCAGUGAAGAGGGGGCAUGUACUCCCAGCAGGUUUCUCCUCUCCUUGCAGGAUGCUGCAGGGCUACGGGGAGAGCAGCUCUGAACCAAAAGAAAGUCCUGGAGCAGCCAGAGGUGUGGGAUGUGAAGAUGGUGUGGGGUUGGAGAAGUUCUCAAUGCAUUCUAGUUUUAACCUUUGUUUUUUCUCCUUAAGAAAAAUGCUAUUUCCAAAAAAUAAAAUCUGAACUGAAAGAAAGCUUA